UACGGAGGGUGCAAGCGUUGUCCGGAAUCACUGGGCGUAAGGGCGCGUAGGCGGCUCGGUAAGUAGGGGGUGAAAUCCUGCGGCUCAACCGCAGGGCUGCCUUCUAAACUGUCGAGCUCGAGCACGGUAGAGGCAGAUGGAAUUCCCGGUGUAGCGGUGGAAUGCGUAGAGAUCGGGAAGAACAUCAGUGGCGAAGGCGGUCUGCUGGGCCGUUGCUGACGCUGAGGCGCGACAGCGUGGGGAGCAAACAGG
rnacentral:rRNA from 1 species